GAGUACCACGGGACACGUGAAACCCUGUGGGAAGCAGGAGGGACCACCCUCCAAGGCUAAAUACUACCUAGUGACCGAUAGCGUAUAGUACCGUGAGGGAAAGGUGAAAAGAACCCCGGGAGGGGAGUGAAAUAGAACCUGAAACCCUGCACUUACAAGCUGUGGAAGCACAUUUCUUGUGUGACCGCGUACUUUUUGUAGAACGGGCCAACGAGUUACGUUAAGUAGCAAGGUUAAGCACUUAAGGUGCGGAGCCGUAGCGAAAGCGAGUUUUAACUGAGCGUUCAGUUACUUGACGUAGACCCGAAACCGGGCGACCUACCCAUGAGCAGGAUGAAGCGAAAGUAAAAUUUCGUGGAGGUCCGAACCCACGAGCGUUGAAAAGCUCGGGGAUGACUUGUGGGUAGCGGUGAAAUUCCAAUCGAGCCCGGAGAUAGCUGGUUCUCCCCGAAAUAGCUUUAGGGCUAGCCUCAAGGUGAGAGAUACGGAGGUAGAGCACUGAAUGUCCUAGGGGGUAUUGCACCUACCGAAGACUAUCAAACUCCGAAUGCCGUCAUCUUAUACUUGGGAGUCAGACUGUGGGUGAUAAGAUUCAUAGUCGAAAGGGCAACAGCCCAGAUCGUCAGCUAAGGUCCCUAAAUGUAAGUUAAGUGGUAAAGGAUGUGGGAUUGCACAGACAACCAGGAUGUUGGCUUAGAAGCAGCCACUCAUUCAAAGAGUGCGUAAUAGCUCACUGGUCGAGUGAUCCUGCGCCGAAGAUUUCCGGGGCUAAAACUU
rnacentral:rRNA from 1 species